AGUGAACGCUGGCGGUAGGCCUAACACAUGCAAGUCGAACGGCAGCACAGUAAGAGCUUGCUCUUACGGGUGGCGAGUGGCGGACGGGUGAGGAAUACAUCGGAAUCUACUUUUUCGUGGGGGAUAACGUAGGGAAACUUACGCCAAUACCGCAUACGACCUACGGGUGAAAGCAGGGGAUCUUCGGACCUUGCGCGAUUGAAUGAGCCGAUGUCGGAUUAGCUAGUUGGCGGGGUAAAGGCCCACCAAGGCGACGAUCCGUAGCUGGUCUGAGAGGAUGAUCGGCCACACUGGAACUGAGACACGGUCCAGACUCCUACGGGAGGCAGCAGUGGGGAAUAUUGGACAAUAGGCGCAAGCCUGAUCCAGCCAUACCGCGUGGGUGAAGAAGGCCUUCGGGUUGUAAAGCCCUUUUGUUGGGAAAGAAAAGCAGCAGGUUAAUACCCCGCUGUUCUGACGGUACCCAAAGAAUAAGCACCGGCUAACUUCGUG
rnacentral:rRNA from 1 species